CGAGAAGGGGUUUUUAAGAAGAGAUUUGGUGGCAUAGGCUCUGCGCUUAUGAAUGAAUGAAUGCUUUCAUCACAACAGUCUGUACAUGCAUAGAGGGAAGGUCUGCAGUCCGCUGACUAUGUUUACCUCAAGGAAAUUGGCCUGGAGGAAGUAUGGGAAAAGAAUGUGCAUUAAAAAAUGCUUAAAGGCAAGGCCAGGGAUGUAACUCAAUGGCACAGCACCUGCCUGGCAAGCAGAAGGUCCUGAGUUCGAG
rnacentral:lncRNA from 1 species